rnacentral:tRNA from 1 species
GGCCGAGUGGCGGAAUUGGUAGACGCUGGGGACUUAAAAUCCCCUGCCUGUUAUGGGUGUAUGGGUUCGAGUCCCAUCUCGGCUA